AGAAAGGGCGGGGAAGGAAAUGAUCACAUCGGCGAUGGGAUCGUUCACGUUCUCUGCACGACAUGUCAAAUUGGAUCGUGCACUCUUUAUCUAUGCGUGCACAUAGAUAAAGACGAGUGCAAGAUCGUGCAGAUAAUAGAAGUAAAGGAACUCUUUAUUUCAUGUUGCUGCAAAUUCUGGUGUAAUCAGAAGAAAAGUGUAGAGUGAUCAUCAAAUACAGUGAAUAGAAUACCACAGUACGUGCAAAUGUUGAAGAAAGCCCAACCACAUCAAUUCCGCAUAGAGUUCAGCUUUCCACAACCACAUGCAUCGAAUUUUAACAAAAGAUUUGAAGCUUCAUGCGUACAACGUUGAAAUGGCUCAACAGCUAAAGCCGGAAUACCAUGGGCAACGAAAAGCAUUUGUUGGUUGGAUUUUGGAACGACAAUUGGAUGGUGAUUUUUGAACGAAAAUAAUCUUUAGUGACGAUUUUCAUCUUAAUGGCCUCGUUAUCCGACAAAAUUGUCGCAUUUGGGAUUCCGCAAAUCUACGAGUGAUUGUUCAGAAACAGAUGCAUCCAAAAAGAGUCACUGUUUGGUAUGUAUUGUGGGCAGGAGGCAUCAUUGGCCCAUUUUUCUUCACUUCAAAAUACUUUCAUGUGCAACCUUGUACAAAUAGAAUUACAAAAAUAUUGUAAGCAACCUGGGAAAACGGAGCAACCACGGCGAGAGCGGCAACACUGGUAGGCGGGACACACCCAGGACGGGAGUGGCAACAUCGGGGCUACUUCAGGGCUGGGACAGAAGACGGCACGGCUGUCUGGGGGAAAAUUUUGUGGGAAAAACAACUGGUGGCGUUGCCAAGGGUUUAUUUAUUAUUGAUUUGGCUGUGGACGGUGAAAGGCGUUCAUUAAAAUUAUUGAAUUUUG